GUAAAUUGCCAACCUGUUUGUCUGCUCAUUACUGUAAGAAUCAUAAUGAUGCUCAUCCUCAAAAUUUUCAUCUGGGAGAAGAGGAAUGAAUAUAAAUUAGCUUAAUGGUUUGGGGAAAUAUUAACACAUUUCAGCAACAUAUCUUUAAAGAUAGAAGAGGGAAUUUAUUCUCAAGCUAUCACAAGGAAAAAUAAAAAAACAAAAGCAUUGAC